UACGUAGGGAGCAAGCGUUGUCCGGAAUCAUUGGGCGUAAAGCGCGCGUAGGCGGCCCUGUAAGUCCGUUGUGAAAGUCAAAGGCUCAACCUUUGAAAGCCGAUGGAUACUGCAGGGCUAGAGUCCGGAAGAGGCGAGUGGAAUUCCUGGUGUAGCGGUGGAAUGCGCAGAUAUCAGGAGGAACACCAAUAGCGAAGGCAGCUCGCUGGGACGGUACUGACGCUAAGGCGCGAAAGCGUGGGAAGCGAACAGG
rnacentral:rRNA from 1 species